UUGACCUUCGGCACCCUUUCUGGAGAAAAGAUGGCAAAGUGUUUCAGAGAGAUCAGAAGUCAUAAGCAGCAGAGCAUUGUGCAUAUAUGAUGAGUGUGUGGGGGCGGGGCAUUGCCUUGGGUGCAAGCCGCAGCACUAUUUUAGAACCUGAUUGACAGGUUCCAUUUUAGCAUCACAUGAUGUUUUCCAGUUGCGAGCAUCAAAGAGGUAUCCCGCUUGGAGACCUCUGUUAUCUAUGAGAGAAGGAAGAGUUUGUUCUUACCGCAAACAGUAUUUCUUCAUGGAUGCCAACCGGUCUCCAAGCCUCGCCCAUACAGUAACUCGUGUGGUAGAUGGGACUAAGUUUGUUAGAUGCCAUGACUCCUUUCUGGGAAUUUAUCGUUCAGGUCACUUGACCUUGAUUUUUCUCUGUUUAUGUUAUGGUUGCAUGUUCUCCCAUUCUGAGUUGGUACUUGAGGCUGAUAUCUAGAGCUUUACAAGAAAAGACCUGAGCCUCAGCAUGAGGGGAGGAGCAAAGGUUUGCUGAGGCAUUUCGUGUCUCUGGGCUGUAGGCAGAGCUACAAUACCUGCUUGGAGACCUCUUGUCAUCCAUGAAGAAAUACCAAUUAUGGGAGAAUUGCAGCCCCUUUCAGCACCACCUACUCUGCCACCAAGUUUGCCGUGGAGGGCUUCUUUGGCUCUCUGCGUAACGAGCUAAUCAUGCAAAAGAAAGAGGUGACUGUUACCCUCUGCUUCCUUGGCCUGAUCGACAUGGCGUCGGCUCUGAACACCAGGGACAUCGUGACCCUGAAGGCUGCUUCUGCCUCUGGGGCAGCCUUGGCCAUCGUGAAAGGUGGGGCCACCCAGGCCAUGGAUGUCUUCUACCCCUGGACGAUGGAACUGGUGUGUCAAGUUCGAGAUUGGUUCCCACGGCUAAGGGACUGGAUUAUGCGUGGCUUAUAUAAUUAUCCCAGUGCCUGAGUGUAUUUGGCUCGGCUCUUGAUUUGGAAAGGUCAACAUGCUGCUGACCAGCAGGUGGUGACCUUUGUCAGACUCACAAUACAGCUGAUCUUGUUAUACACCUUCAAGUCGAUUAUGACUUAUGGCGAUGCUAUGAAUCUUUUUUGCAUAUAUAUUGAUAGGGAUUUCAUGGUAGGAGGUAUUCAGAGGUGGUUCACCAUUGCCUUCCUCUAAGCCGACGGCACCUGGGAUUCCCAGGCAGUUUCCCAUCCAAGUGCUAACCAGGCCUGACCCUGCUUAGCUUCCGAGAUCAGGCGUGUUUAGGGUAGGAUGGCUGUAGGCUUAAUAGCUAAUCUUAGUCUCACAUUAUUAAAAUGGGAUUGUUCAUACACAAGCACGCAUUCCUUCUUUCCUGCACAUUUGUGUAUACACUUUUAAAUUCAGCCCUCCACAUCUCUGCAGCAAUUUGCAAUUAAAAAAAAAAACUACAUGAAAAUCCUUCACCAUUUCCGUGCAACUGAAUCCUAAUAAACACUUUUUUUCUGCGCAA